rnacentral:lncRNA from 1 species
AUUUUAUUGACAUCAUUCAGACUCUCUCUGGACUUUACAUAAGAUAUUGAGAUAACUCCAAAAGGUUUGAAAAGCGAGAAAUUUUGAAGUAUCAUGGAACUGAAUGAAAAGAUGUAUUUAGCUAAUAAUGCUAUUUGUUCAUGGUAUGUAUAUUUCUAAUAACAUUUUGAUAUCAUUUUGAGUAGGGAAAACAAAACAAAAACAUAUGUCAAUCCUUAUUUGAAUGGUAAAAAAUCAAAUUGACAUUUUUAAAAUCCUAAACUUGCAGAACCCCAAAAUAUUCAUCAAUAGUCAAUUUUUGUAAUAGUUUGUCAUUUGAAAAAUGACCAUCUGCUAUACCGGAGCAGGAAUGGACAGUAAUCCCACCUAUAUUCAAGGAAGCCACUCCCGUUGUUCCUGUGACUGCGACCGUUUUCCCCCGGCUUUUUUUAGUUCUUGUUCUAUAGUACAGACCAAAAGGCUCUUCCCCGUUCCACUUUG